rnacentral:rRNA from 1 species
UCCCGGAUGUUAGCGGCGGACGGGUGAGUAACACGUGGGUAACCUGCCUGUAAGACUGGGAUAACUCCGGGAAACCGGAGCUAAUACCGGAUAGUUCCUUGAACCGCAUGGUUCAAGGAUGAAAGACGGUUUCGGCUGCCACUUACAGAUGGACCCGCGGCGCAUUAGCUAGUUGGUGGGGUAAUGGCUCACCAAGGCGACGAUGCGUAGCCGACCUGAGAGGGUGAUCGGCCACACUGGGACUGAGACACGGCCCAGACUCCUACGGGAGGCAGCAGUAGGGAAUCUUCCGCAAUGGACGAAAGUCUGACGGAGCAACGCCGCGUGAGUGAUGAAGGUUUUCGGAUCGUAAAGCUCUGUUGUUAGGGAAGAACAAGUGCGAGAGUAACUGCUCGCACCUUGACGGGACCUAACCAGAAAGCCACGGCUAACUACGUGCCAGCAGCCGCGGGAAUACGUAGGGGGGAAGCGUUGUCCGGAAUUAUUGGGCGUAAAGGGCUCGCAGGCGGGUUCUUAAGUCUGAUGUGAAAGCCCCCGGCUCCACCGGGGAAGGGCAUUGGAAACUGGGAAACUUGAGUGCAGAAGAAGAGAGUGGAAUUCCACGUGUAGCGGUGAAAUGCGUAGAGAUGUGGAGGAACACCAGUGGCGAAAGCGACUCUCUGGUCUGUAACUGACGCUGAGGAGCGAAAGCGUGGGGAGCAACCAGGAUUAUAUACCCUGGUAGUCACCCCGUCAACGAUUAAUGCUAAGUGUUAGGGGGGUUCCGCCCCCUAAUGCUGCAGCUAAGCCAUUAAGU